UGCGAUCUCGAAAGCCUAUCUCAGUUCGGAUUGGAGGCUGAAACCCGCCUCCAUGAAGUUGGAUUCGCUAGUAAUCGCGCAUCAGCCAUGGCGCGGUGAAUACGUUCCCGGGCCUUGUACACACCGCCCGUCAAGCCAUGGGAGCUGGGGGUGCCUGAAGUUCGUGACCGCAAGGAUCGACCUAGGGCAAAACCGGUGACUGGGGCUAAGUCGUAACAAGGUACC
rnacentral:rRNA from 1 species